rnacentral:rRNA from 1 species
AUAGUUACCGCAUGGUAACUAUGUAAAAGGUGGCUAUGCUACCGCUUUUUGAUGGGCCCGCGGCGCAUUAGCUAGUUGGUGGGGUAAAGGCUUACCAAGGCAAUGAUGCGUAGCCGAACUGAGAGGUUGAUCGGCCACAUUGGGACUGAGACACGGCCCAAACUCCUACGGGAGGCAGCAGUAGGGAAUCUUCCACAAUGGGCGAAAGCCUGAUGGAGCAACGCCGCGUGGGUGAAGAAGGUCUUCGGAUCGUAAAACCCUGUUGUUAGAGAAGAAAGUGCGUGAGAGUAACUGUUCACGUUUCGACGGUAUCUAACCAGAAAGCCACGGCUAACUACGUGCCAGCAGCCGCGGUAAUACGUAGGUGGCAAGCGUUAUCCGGAUUUAUUGGGCGUAAAGGGAACGCAGGCGGUCUUUUAAGUCUGAUGUGAAAGCCUUCGGCUUAACCGGAGUAGUGCAUUGGAAACUGGGAGACUUGAGUGCAGAAGAGGAGAGUGGAACUCCAUGUGUAGCGGUGAAAUGCGUAGAUAUAUGGAAGAGCACCAGUGGCGAAAGCGGCUCUCUGGUCUGUAACUGACGCUGAGGUUCGAAAGCGUGGGUAGCAAACAGGAUUAGAUACCCUGGUAGUCCACGCCGUAAACG